UACGAAGGGUGCAAGCGUUACUCGGAAUUACUGGGCGUAAAGCGUGCGUAGGUGGUUCGUUAAGUCUGUCGUGAAAGCCCCGGGCUCAACCUGGGAAUGGCGAUUGAUACUGGCGGGCUAGAGUGCGGUAGAGGAGAGUGGAAUUCCCGGUGUAGCAGUGAAAUGCGUAGAGAUCGGGAGGAACAUCAGUUGCGAAGGCGGUUCUCUGGACCAGCACUGACACUGAGGCACGAAAGCGUGGGGAGCAAACGGG
rnacentral:rRNA from 1 species